AUAGGACUAUUGGACAUUCCCUGUGGGUUUCUCUGUGCAGCCCUUGCUGUCCUGGAACUCGAUCUGUGUAGACCAGGUUGUCCUGGAAUUCAGAGACCUGCCUUUCUCUGCCUUCCAAGUGCUGGGAUUAAAGAUGAAUACAGCACACAUGGCCCUUCCACCCGGAGUUACAUCGAUGAAUGCCUUUGGACUUGAGAAGCCCACCUCCCACAGUUGGCACACUGCUGAUCAUUUUGAUAAUACCUACUCACUGUUUCCCCCCUCCAGCUUUCCCCAAACCACUCCCAACAUGUCUCCAUCUCAAUGUCAUGCCCCCAAUUUUUUUCCUUUUAAAUUACCAACUGAGUCUAAUUAGCAUGCCUCUAUGUCCAUGCACUAGAGCAUGAACCUACCAGAGGCCGCAGUCCAAAGAAAAUGACCCUCCGUCCCUCAGCAGCAACCAUCUGCUAAUGGUCCUCAGCUAGGGGCGGAGCCUGGUGAGCCCCUCCCCUGUUUAUGCUGGACUUUUCCUGGCUUGAUCUUGUGCAGGUAACCAUAGCUGGUGUGAGUUAAUGAGUGUGGUAACUGUGUGAUGCGUAUAAGACAGUAUCUCAUGGCAUUCUACCCUAUUCCCCAGCAAUUAUGUUCUUUCUGAUCCCUCUUGCAGGACUUUUAGUGGUAGAAGUGGGAUUUAAUGUAGACGUUCCAUUUAUGAGCAAGAAGUCAGUCACAUAUUCUCAGCAUUUUGAACUGUUGUAAAUCUGUGUGAACUGCUGUAUACUGCAAAAGGAAGACCCUCAGACUGAGGUUGAGAGUACUAAUUUAUGUGAAUAAAUACAAUUUUUUAGAAG
rnacentral:lncRNA from 1 species